UACGUAGGGUGCGAGCGUUGUCCGGAAUUAUUGGGCGUAAAGAGCUCGUAGGCGGCCUGUCGCGUCGGUUGUGAAAGCCCGGGGCUUAACCCCGGGUCUGCAGUCGAUACGGGCAGGCUAGAGUUCGGUAGGGGAGAUCGGAAUUCCUGGUGUAGCGGUGAAAUGCGCAGAUAUCAGGAGGAACACCGGUGGCGAAGGCGGCAUCCUGGACCGACACUGACGCUGAGGAGCGAAAGCCAGGGGAGCAAACGGG
rnacentral:rRNA from 1 species